rnacentral:lncRNA from 1 species
AUGGGAGCUAAGAGGUCAUCUUCAUCUUUAUGCAAUAUAUUCAAAGCAUGUUUCUCAAGUGGAAACAAUGAUGAGUAUUGGGAAGGUAGUGGAACUGGAAGAAGAAUGUUUGCAAGUGAUCAAGAUAGAGGUUGUUGGGUUGCAGAGCCUGGUAUUGAUAGGAAAGCUUCUGAUUUCAUUGCUAGAUACUAUGCCAAUCGUGUCACUGACUCUCAAAGCCAAUUUGCUUCAAUGAAUUAA